CGCCUCCUGCAAAAAUCCACGUAUAAGAGGUCCUACCUGCCCAGUGACUAAGUUAAACGGCCGCGGUAUUUUGACCGUGCAAAGGUAGCGCAAUCACUUGUCUUUUAAAUGAAGACCUGUAUGAAUGGUGAAACGAGGGCUUAACUGUCUCCCCUUUCCAAUCAAUGAAAUUGAUCUACCCGUGCAGAAGCGGGUAUAAAUAUACAAGACGAGAAGACCCUAUGGAGCUUAAGACACAAAGUCACCUGUGCUAAAACCCUAAGUUAAAAGAACAAAGCAAAACAACCACUGACUGAAGUCUUCGGUUGGGGCGACCGCGGGGGAAAGAAAAUCCCCCACGUGGAAAGGGAAACCCCUUAAACCACGAGGCACACCUCUAAGUCUCAGAAUUUCUGACCAAACGAUCCGGUGAAUAACCGAUCAACGAACCAAGUUACCCUAGGGAUAACAGCGCAAUCCUCUUCAAGAGUCCAUAUCGACAAGGGGGUUUACGACCUCGAUGUUGGAUCAGGACAUCCUAAUGGUGCAGCCGCUAUUAAGGGUUCGUUUGUUCAACGAUUAAAGUCCU
rnacentral:rRNA from 1 species